ACGCUCGACACCUACGGGGNGNGGCAGUGGGGAAUAUUGCACAAUGGGGGAAACCCUGAUGCAGCGACGCCGCGUGAGCGAAGAAGUAUUUCGGUAUGUAAAGCUCUAUCAGCAGGGAAGAAACUGACGGUACCUGACUAAGAAGCACCGGCUAAAUACGUGCCAACAGCCGCGGUAAUCUGAGCGGGCUGGCAAGGC
rnacentral:rRNA from 1 species